GACGAACGCUGGCGGCGUGCUUAACACAUGCAAGUCGAACGGAAAGGCCCUGCUAUUGUGGGGUGCUCGAGUGGCGAACGGGUGCGUAACACGUGAGUAACCUGCCCUUGACUUUGGGAUAACUUCAGGCAACUGGGGCUAAUACCGGAUCGGAGCUCCUGCUGCAUGGUGGGGGUUGGAAAGUUUCGGCGGUUGGGGAUGGACUCGCGGCUUAUCAGCGUGUUGGUUGGGUAGUGGCUUACCAAGGCUUUGACGGGUAGCCGGCCUGAGAGGGUGACCGGCCACAUUGGGACUGAGAUACGGCCCAGACUCCUACGGGAGGCAGCAGUGUGGAAUAUUGCACAAUGGGCGGAAGCCUGAUGCAGCAACGCCGCGUGCGGGAUGACGGCCUUCGGGUUGUAAACCGCUUUCGCCUGUGACGAAACGUGAGUGACGGUAAUGGGUAAAGAAGCACCGGCUAACUACGUG
rnacentral:rRNA from 1 species